rnacentral:lncRNA from 1 species
GGGACCUGGCACCUGCACGCCUUUUCCUGCCCGGCACCAAAGGCUCUGGCUCCCAGAGGGGCACACAGGUACGCGCCGGGAGCUCCGCAGCGCCGCGGCCCCUUCUGAGCACGGAGCGCGGCGCGGACAGGCGGCCCUGGGGCGGGCGGCCCUGAAGCAGACGCCGCUCCGCGAGGCCGCGCCGGGAGAGGCCGGACCGCCACUCACCUCUUCCACUUCGAUCUCUUUGUAGUCAAUUUCUUCGAAGUUGAGGACGGGGGGGGUUUCAAUCAUUUCAGCGGAGGCGGCAGCGGACAUCCCUCCUCUUUCACCUCGGGGAGGAGAGGCCAGGGCAGGCCGGGGGCCGCGCUCGGUGGGCCGGGCCGGCGCUAGUCGGGGCGCGGCGGCGGCUCCUGCCCUCCGCGCGGGCGCAGGUCGGCGAGGGCCUGGCCGAGGCGCCGCUCUGCAUCCCGCGCCCUCCCGCACCGCGCCGCGCUACGCCGGCCGCCCUAGGCCGCGGCCUCUCCGGCGCCUGGGAGCCGCCUCGGCCGCGCGUCCCCGGCGGAGGGAAGGGGGCACCCCUGGGGGCCGAAGCCGGCCGCCUCCGCCCGCCCCGGCGGCAGCAGCGGGCGAGGGGCCGCGGCGGGGGUAGGGGAGCCGCUCAGAGCCGCGCCGCGGCCGCCGCUGCUGACAUCAGAGCCGCUUCCUGCCGCCCCGGCCUGGGGACGCGGGGGAGGGAGCGCAGGGGGAGGGGGCGGGAAGUGGAAACGCGCCGGCAGCCGCUGCUACUCAGGCGGCCGCGGAGGGGCCAUGGCCUGGCGGCGGCACCGCCGCUCCGCCCCCCGCCCCGCCGCCCGGCUCCGCCAGGGGGAGCUCCGCCGGCCCCGCUUCCUCUUCCUGCAGCGCUGGCGCCGCGAGGGGCGGGCAUGGGUGGGGUGUUCCUGUUUCUGUUCCCGUCCCGGUGCCGGCAGGGAGAAGUGCGGGGUGUCUGCGGGACGCGGCGGGCUGGGGGCUGAGGGCUGAGGAAGGCUCCGCCAUCUUAGCGGUGGGGCAGCGAGAGGCGGCCUUUAGCGGGAGGCAGCGCCCUGGAGCUGCACGAAGGUGGCCGGCCGGCGCACGGAUCCCCGUCAUUUCACCUCUACAGAGUUCUGAAAUUUUGAGUGAACCUGUUCCUGACGCGUUUGUAUGUGCGUUUAUUUAGGAAGGAGGCAUACGCAUGGUGGACGUGCAUGCUGGGGCUUGUUUUUUUUUCUGAAGGCAGAAGCACAGUGCAGCACCCGUGCUGUACAGCAGCGCUUUCUCACGAAAGUAUGUGCGUAGGAGGGCGGUUGUGGAGCAGAGGGUAAUUUACUGGUGUAAACACAGCAGAAAAGGGAUAGGACGGGGGAGUGAACUCACACCUCCACCACUCCCUUUCCUGUCCGCAGGAAAUCCGAACCUGCCCUCCCACCAGCGAGUGCCUGCUUGCACUGCUGGCUUGAGCAAUGCAUCCAUAUCGUGGUGAUAAAUCUCCCAAGUUUAGCGUUUAGAGCUACCUACAGUGUGAAACCAAUGGUGGGAUGAAGUGGGUAUGGCUCCUGUGUCUCACUGAAGCAGCUAUGCUCCAGUGGUGUGCGUUCAGCCUCCAUGCUACAUAUAAAAGUUAUGCUACUGUAAAACACAGUUAGUAGCAUUUAGUUUUAGUAGAUCCGGUGAACUUUUAUGGCUUUCUUGCUAAAAUAUUAAUAAAUGUUUGUACCUCACAGUGAUGUCAAGUAAAUGGGAUAGGGAGCUGAUUUACAGAAUGAGUGAAAAAGCUGCUUAAGCAGCUAACUAGGAAAGAAAAGAUCAAGGAGGAAUAUGUGCAGUAACCUACCAUCGUGAUGGCUCAGAUGUUGUUAGAAAAAUUGGAAUAAAACCACUCUUGUCACAGUUCUUUUGUGUGUGUGUGUGUGAUAUAUUGUCAUUUUGGGUUGUUCGCUCCCCUCGUGACUUUUUUUUUAUCAGCUUUAGUGACAUGUCCAGGAUUUCCAAAUAUAUAGCAGCCUAGAAAUCCCCAGACAAACUGUUGUGGUGCAUGCACCAAUUGAUUAUGUUGCACGCAUGAUCAAACUUGUCUCCAGAACAUGCUGGAUUGGUGUGAUUGCAUUGUGCAAGUGACAUCUGUCUGCGUGGGGAACAGACUCGUGUCCUGAUUACACUGAAUUCUUGUUGCUUCUUGAUUUUUCAAUAUAUUUUGCUCUAGAAUGAUCUAAAGACGUCUGGGUUAGAAAUGGAAAGGUUUAUCACCAAAUCUGGUUAAUAUCUGCUUCAUCCAGAAAUGGGAUUAUUCAGACCUCUUAGUUUCUCAGAGAUUAUAGUCAGGUUUACAUGUUCAUAAUGGCCCAGGUGUUCUCCAGAUUUGUAAUCUCUGGAUAAUUAAGAACUAGCACCUGCUUCUACUCAGAUGUAUUUUUUAGUUUUGCCUGCACGAAAGGCACUGUUAGUGCCAAUCCUCAUUGCAGUGUGACAUGGAGUUCUCUACAGUAGGGUUAGAACUAGACGACCUUUAAAGUCCCUUCCAACCUGAUGCCAUUCUGUGAUUCUAUGUUGCCACAAAUCAUAGAAUAUCCCCCAUUGGAAGGGAUCCACAAGGAUCACUGAGUCCAACUCCUGGUUCCACGCAGAACCACACCAAAAUCAAACCCUAUGUCUGAGAGUGUUCAAAUGUUUCUUGAACACCUUCAGCUUGGAACCAUGACCAUUGCUCUAAGGGGGGCUUGUUCCAUGCCCACCGCCCUCUGGUGAAGACCCUUUUCCUACUACCCAACCUGGCCCUCUCAUGAACACAUUUGUACCUGAUCCUGACAACUUAAUGGAAAAUACACCACUAGAGUACAGGCAGCUACUGUUACUAUCUCAGGUGCUCAGUGUGCAAUCUUUUGGAAAAUUAAGAAUGAGUUUCUGAGGUUUUGAGAGAUUAGGUCAGGUUGAAAACAGACUCCUAACAUUUAGACAUCUCUCAUCUAAAUAUGUAGUGCUGAAUAAGUCACUUCAGUACUUUUAUCACCUUUUAAGACUGAGGUUCAGGACAACACAUAGAGUCAACCAGAGACAAAAAUGGGAUUGAAUGAAGAAAAUGAUGUACGUACAUUUAUCACUGCUGUUCUUGAUACCUAGUUGCAGUCUUCAGUGUGGUAUUAGAUACAAUUAAUUAUUAGAUACACUUAAUUAUUAUUAUUAUUAUUAUUAUUGGAUCUGGGCUCACAUGUUAUGCACUGGGGAAGGUGAACUACAUCAGUGUUUUUUGGAAGGAUAGCUAAGUGUGUGGUGGUACUUUAGAUGGUGUUUGGGGUCUCUGGU